GACGAACGCUGGCGGCGUGCCUAAUACAUGCAAGUAGAACGCUGAAGGAGGAGCUUGCUUCUCUGGAUGAGUUGCGAACGGGUGAGUAACGCGUAGGUAACCUGCCUGGUAGCGGGGGAUAACUAUUGGAAACGAUAGCUAAUACCGCAUAAGAGUAGAUGUUGCAUGACAUUUGCUUAAAAGGUGCAAUUGCAUCACUACCAGAUGGACCUGCGUUGUAUUAGCUAGUUGGUGGGGUAACGGCUCACCAAGGCGACGAUACAUAGCCGACCUGAGAGGGUGAUCGGCCACACUGGGACUGAGACACGGCCCAGACUCCUACGGGAGGCAGCAGUAGGGAAUAUUCGGCAAUGGACGGAAGUCUGACCGAGCAACGCCGCGUGAGUGAAGAAGGUUUUCGGAUCGUAAAGCUCUGUUGUAAGAGAAGAACGAGUGUGAGAGUGGAAAGUUCACACUGUGACGGUAUCUUACCAGAAAGGGACGGCUAACUACGUG
rnacentral:rRNA from 1 species